rnacentral:rRNA from 1 species
AUGCCAAUCCUCCGUCAGAUUUUUCGUCUCCUCCGGCGACCUGGCGUCGCCAUCUCUCAUGACCCACUGCGCCGCCUCUCCUCUACCUCGCGACCUCUCCUCUCUUUCAUGGCCUCUGCCCCGCCUUACUGGUCGCCACCACCGCUUGCACGGCGAAGUUUCCCUCUCAUGAUGGUUCCAGAUCUACCUGUCCGUCGUGUUUCCCGAUUUCCACCUGGAUCUCGGAGCAUGACUAGUGGGACAACCUUGCAAGAUAUGAAUACUAUAGCCGGCAAACAUGAUGCAUCUUCGAAUAUUGUGGACAUCUCUGGUUGUGAUGAAAACGGGAGGAGUGCAACCAAUAGAAGGAGCGCAUUGGUAGCAAGCGAUGCCGAAGAAGAUGAUAUUCUUGACCUGGGAUUUCUUCCAAAAAGCACACACCGUGAUGGUUCUUUAUACAGGAACACUCAUUCGUGGAAAAGGAUGUAUAAUGUUGAUGACUGUAGUGAGACUCGGCUACCAGAUCCCACAGAUUGUGACAUCCGCAAUGGAGAAUGCAUUCGGCAUCAACCUAAUCGCGUGUUACAAAUUUUCUCAUUAAAGUUGGCUGAACUUACUCUGGAUCUUGGCCCAGUAGAGUUGUAUGGAUACAUAGCAGUGCGGGAUUAUCUGGAUACAUUGCGUAAUUAUGUUGUCAAUAUAAGCAGGGAUGAUCCCAUCAUUGUGAAGCAGGGUUCUCUCAUCGACAUGGCUGGCCCUAAGCGAGGGAUAGAUUUGAUUUCCAGUAUUCUAGUGGAAUAUGACAUGAGGAUCAAGGUAGGUGAGGAAGAAAGGGAUGAUUACCAGCUGAUUGAUGGUGUAACAGACAUAGACGACCUGGGCCCAUGGAAUCGUGCAUUGAAAAAUCGCAUCCAAGGCGACUGUGGUGCGGUUGACUUAACCAUAGCACGUGUUGAUGACGCAGUCAUGGCGAAUAUUGAAGUUGCCGUGUCAGAAGUGCAGAGCAGUUUUCAUCUGCGCUUGCGCUGUUUUAUCNNNNNNNNNNGUGGUUAUAACGAAGGAAUUCGGCUCUUCAAUGGUACAGUUGGCGAGUCACGUCAUUUAAAGAGGUCUGUGGUUGCUGUAGUGGAUGGUUCCACUCUGGUUUUGAAGUUCAAGGCGGCCUCGGGGCCAUCUGGUUCAGCGGAACGAUGUUGUUCCUUCCAGGCAGACACGCAUGGACUUGAUACUCGAGAGAUAAAGACUGAUUUUGGGUUGAUCUCAGUGAAGGUGACUUGGUCGACUCUGCGUACCAGGCUUAUUGUAGGGCUUGAAUAA